rnacentral:ncRNA from 1 species
GGAGCGGUGAAAUGCAUUGAGAUCGGAAAGAACACCAACGGCGAAAGCACUCUGCUGGGCCGACACUGACACUGAGAGACGAAAGCUAGGGGAGCAAAUGGGAUUAGAGACCCCAGUAGUCCUAGCCGUAAACGAUGGAAACUAGGUGCUGUGCGACUCGACCCGUGCAGUGCUGUAGCUAACGCGUUAAGUAUCCCGCCUGGGGAGUACGUUCGCAAGAAUGAAACUCAAAGGAAUUGACGGGGGCCCGCACAAGCGGUGGAG